rnacentral:rRNA from 1 species
GAUGAACGCUGGCGGCGUGCUUAACACAUGCAAGUCGAACGGAAAGGCCCUGCUUUUGUGGGGUGCUCGAGUGGCGAACGGGUGAGUAACACGUGAGUAACCUGCCCUUGACUUUGGGAUAACUUCAGGAAACUGGGGCUAAUACCGGAUAGGAGCUCCUGCUGCAUGGUGGGGGUUGGAAAGUUUCGGCGGUUGGGGAUGGACUCGCGGCUUAUCAGCUUGUUGGUGGGGUAGUGGCUUACCAAGGCUUUGACGGGUAGCCGGCCUGAGAGGGUGACCGCCCACAUUGGGACUGAGAUACGGCCCAGACUCCUACGGGAGGCAGCAGUGGGGAAUAUUGCACAAUGGGCGGAAGCCUGAUGCAGCAACGCCGCGUGCGGGAUGACGGCCUUCGGGUUGUAAACCGCUUUCGCCUGUGACGAAGCGUGAGUGACGGUAAUGGGUAAAGAAGCACCGGCUAACUACGUG